UAAGUUCAUAAAAGUCUAAAACACAACACAAUAUCAUUGUAGAUCCUUCAAUCAAAAACAUUUUCUUCUCCAAAUAUAAAACGUUACAUCUUUGUCAAUCUAUAAUGAUACACAUUUGAAGUUAUAUCAAAUUUAAAGGUGAGUUAGUAGCGUCUUUUGGCUGACGAUCUACUUCAUGAAGCGCAAGGUUUGAUAGCUUUUGUAGAUUUUCUCCGUUGUAUACAUUGUACUAGGGAGAUGCGAUUGAAGCUUCUACAUAUUCAACAAAUAAAAGCACAACAACGGCCCUAAAUUAUCAAGAGCGCCACGUAUUUUAUGUUUACCAUAACUUAUUCUACCUUAACUAUGCAUCAGGAGAAGUGUGUCCCUACAGCUAAAAUGUGUUGAUUGAACACAUAGCAUGAUUGUCAAAAUUUGUUUGUUAAAAGAUUUCAAAUCAUUUGAAUGCCGCUUUGGCUUUCCCUCCUUGAUCACUAGGAAAUGAUGUUUCUUGCUAAGAACCAUUCUUAUGGCUAGCUAUGUUGAUUGUCUGAUAAUUGUAAUUAGAUGGAUUGGUUGUAUAUGGCCUUUUAAAUGCUGAUUAAAUUUGAGCCAUUAGCAUA